rnacentral:rRNA from 1 species
UACAGAGGUCCCAAGCGUUGUUCGGAUUUACUGGGCGUAAAGGGUGCGUAGGCGGUCGGGUAAGUCUGACGUGAAAUCUUCAAGCUCAACUUGGAAACUGCGUCGGAUACUAUCAGUCUUGAAUACCGUGGAGGUCAGCGGAAUAUGUCAUGUAGCGGUGAAAUGCUUAGAUAUGACAUAGAACACCAAUUGCGAAGGCAGCUGGCUACACGAAUAUUGACACUGAUGCACGAAAGCGUGGGGAUCAAACAGG